AUGAGGAUGGCCUGGAAAAACAUUUUCUUUUCUAGAUCCGGACCGGGCUGUUUUAGGGCAGAAGAAGUAAUGCAGCUAACUUUUUCUGCUAUGCUGGGAAAACCCCUGUGGUCUGUUUUUUUUUUUUUUUCCCUGGGUUGCCAGCACAGAUGUGAGGCUGCAUCUUCCCUGCCACCUCCUCAUGCCCACAGAGGAGCGGCAAGUACUUAUUAUCAGCUCUUGGAACGUAGCUGCGGGAGAGGAAAUGGCGCUCUGGUCAGCAUCUCCUGCGGUGUUUCUGCUUCUACCCAGAAGAAGCCUUCUGCCUGGGGAGGAUGUGGCCCGGCAUACAGGUCCUGCUCAGAACGUCAGGAUGCUAAAGCAGGGUCAGUGUUUCCUUGGAUAUUGGCCUAUGUGCCCAUGAGAAGCUGCCACAGAGUCUUGAGGGGCACAUAUGGGGAGUUUUCUCCUCCAGAGUACCACAGCGAUUCCCCGUUCAACUUGUGGUGUAACUGGACAAUCUGGGCAGGCUCCAGGAAGCAUGUCGUAGUUUACAUUCAAGGCUUUAUCACGCAGGAGGAUUGCAACAGAAAUAAAGACCAAAUCCUCUUUGAAGGAGUUUCUUCGCUGGUGGAAAACGAUGUAGUUUAUGCUUGCUGGAAGAAGGAGAUGCACGUUUUUGCCACCUUUGCUCAGGCUGUGCACGUUGUGUUGCUGAAGAGGUACCUGCCAAAUUGCAGAGACACCCAGUUUAAAGGCAAGUAUUACAUCUUCCAGCACCAGGAAUGCACAUCUCCCUCCAGAGGUGCUUUGAUUCCUGAAACUCUCGCUCCAAAGCCAUCUAAGCAAGACAGUGUUUUCCAACCUGGCUGGACAGACCACUUUGGAGGCUCUGCAACCUUGAUUCCGUUGGGAAGUCCAGUAAAGCUUGUCCCAUACCAAGGUGCAAGUACACAGCUGCUGGACAUGCCAGCUGCCCACGUGCAGGGCUCCGAGCCACAGACAGGGCCAAGGCUCUCUCAAGAAGAGGAAGGCAUAGCUGGAUGUGCCCAGUGGUUGAGCUGCACCACCAGCAGAGGUGUUGCUCCAGGUUUGAGUUAUACACGUGGAUUUUCAAGCGUGCCUUUGGAAACGCCUUUGUUUGAAGCCUUACAGGUGGUGGAGCCUUCAUUGCAGCCCACAGGCAUGAGCUGGGAGAGCAGGCAGUCUGUACUGCACCCCACCCUGAGGCUGGAAGAUUUGGGAAACCUCCAGUUUACCAUUAAACCAACAUGCACAAGUCACAUGGACUUGGAUGCUGAUUCACAGGCUUUCUCUCCUGGCAGAGGAGGAAGCCAAGAGAGCAUCGGUACCACCGUGUCCCAGGGCCUGGGAUUAAGGAAUGAUAGAAACCAUGCCCAGCUGAGCAUCCCAGCUGGCAGCUCAGCAGGCAGUGAUGCUGCUGGCCUUGCAAGGGGCCUGAUGCCCAGCCUGAGCAGCCCCUAUGAUGUGAUGAGUGGGGACUGCUCACAGCUGCUGCCUGAGAGCGAGCAAAGCAGUUUUGGGGCUUUUCCUGUGACUCAGCCCAGGCUGGGAACAACCAACCUCCAGCAUAUGGAGCUCAUGGAUAUCUUCCCCCUGGAGAGUUCCAGGGGUGGUGUUGAGGAGAAAGUCGUGCCACGUCCCACAUCACCAUGGGACAUCCUCCAUGAGCAUCCUCACUCAUAUGACCAGAGCCAUCCUGUCCUACAGGCAGUUCCUGUGCACCCUGGGAGCCUCCCCACAAGCACCCAAGCAUGCAGUUGUCCAGCUGCUGAGGAAACUCCUGCAUCCUCAUGGGACACAGAAAGCUGCUGUUACCAGGGUGACACUGCCACACAGACACGGUUGGUGGCAUCCCCUAGGCCAACAGGUCCAGAGCUUGUUUCCAUGAGCAGGAUGGAAAUAAUCCCUGAACCAGUGUUCUCUCGCUCUGACCUAGUUCCUGUGGGCUUUGGCUCUGCCAACAUUGCCCCUGAAGGACUUCUUCCCUCAGGAGAGCAGUCUAUGCCCAGAGCUGUCCCUUCCCCACUGGCAGCUUUAGGUUUGGAUCCUGUCAGCCUCAGGAGAAGGGCAGGCAUCUCACCAGGAAGACAGGAGAUGGCCUCACCAUUGCCUCCUCACCAUCCAUUGGCAGCCCCCCAAAUGGGUGCAGAUGUGUCCCCUGGCCACCUUGGCCCUUGGGUGAGAGAGGAUGUGCUGGAAGAGGGUGACCGCCAACGAGAAACCCCAGCUCCUGUGAGUGGUCCUUCUCCAGCCUCCAUCCCAAGGCCCCAUGUGGGACCUCCUCGGGCCAAGGACACCCUGAGUCAUGGCUCUGGGGUGACACCAGCUCCGCUGCUACCAGGCAUGGCCACUAGUGGCAAAGUGAUUUCUGCCUUGCUCCCUGGGGCAGUUAAAAUGCAGAAAACCAUGGAAAGUCUCCAGGUGGGUGUGGGAGAGCAGAGAAAUUCCUCUUUGUAUGCUGCUCAUUCUGAUCCUUCAGCAGUCCAGCGGGGACAGACAGUGCCAAGAGGCCAGGAACUCUGGGAGGCUGCCAAAGGUCCUGUGUCCAGACGCAGGGAGAUGCCAGGAGGACAGCCACAGAAGCACGCUGGUAGGUCUCAAAAUAUUUCUUAUUUUGGUGUGAGCCGUCUUCUGAAGGUAGAACUAAUUGGUCAGAGAUACUCCCACCAGCAGUCCCAGCAUGGCAAGCGUGGCCCUGGCUGCUGGGGAGGGGUGGACUUCCAAAAAUGCGAUGGUCUUGGCUAAACCUCUGCUGGGAGCAAAAGCUCACAAUUCCAGCCCCCAGAAGCUGGCAGGGCAGCUGGGUCCCUGGGCUCAGCUCCAAUCCCAGAGCAGAGAGUUGACUCUGGGGGUUGAAACCACAGGGAUUCUGAAGCAGUAGAGGAUUUGGAACAGGGUGUCUAUGUCCUGGGGUAUACACUGAUCACUGUGUUUCCUCUCUGUUUAUGAUGUGCCAGAGCUGGGACUGCCCUGGGUGAUGGAGUACUACCCUGUUAGGAGCUGCCACGUCAUCUUUCAGGAUGGGUUUGGACUGUUCUACCUCCCACUGUAUGGUGACAUCCAAGCCAACAUCUGGUGCAACUGGACCAUCUGGGCAGGCCCCCAGAAGCACAUUGUCAUCUACAUUCAGGGGUUCCAGAGCAGUGAAGGCUGCGGUAAGAACCAGGACAAGAUCAUUUUCCAAGGGGUCCUCUCACGUGUGGAAACUAAGGUUGUGUAUGCCUGCCACAGCCGAGAUACUCUGAUCUUUGCUGCACAAGCCAUUGCAGUCCAUGUGUUACUGUUGUCAAAAAGUGGCCCCCUAAGCAGCAAAUACAAACAUUUUGAAGGACGGUAUUAUGUAUUUGGAGACUAUGAAGCAGUGAGAUCUUCAGGUGGUGCUGUAGCUCCCCAAGAGCCUGUCCAGGAAACCUCUAAAGGAGAGAGCUGGAGAAUGGGGAUAACACAAGGUUUGCUGCCCAUGCUGGGAGCCUCCCUGAGCCCAUCCACUCCACCUACUGCAGGCAAGAUCCAGGCUGAGGUGGUAAGCUCAGAGGACAAGGGCCAACACCCUCCUGAUCUUGUGGAAGGUGCUUGGCUUGGUGCUGACCUGGGUGAGCACGAUGAGCUGCAGGGUGAAACAGAGAUGGAAAGAAGCCUUACAUAUGGCGGCACUAAGGGGAGGGAACCCAGUGAUGAUAUGUUGGAGGCUCCAUCAGGAGGAGGUGCUGGGCCUGAAGCUGAGCUGCCUGCCUUGGAGGUUGCGGAGGGGGAUAUAGAGCUGGUGCCUGCUACAGUCAGCACAGCCUCACCCUACUCAGCUGAUGUCCCUGCCUCAGAGGUGAUGCCCUGGGGUGACAAAGGUGUGCCUGCUGGAGAUGUGCUGUCACCAGAAGGGCAUGAAAAUCUCUUUG
rnacentral:lncRNA from 7 species